CCAGUUAUCAGUUUGUGGAUAAUAAGGUAUUUAGUCAUCAUUAUACAUAUGCUAUAACUGGAGUUAAUGAAUUAGGAGAAGGAAUAUCUAAUAAUGAAACAUUCUCAUACCUAAGAGUUCCAAAAUCAACUGCAGAAAACACAUCCAUUGACAUACUUUUCUCUACAGAAGAUGUGACAAUAGUCCAGUUCACUAUUCCAAUUAUACUGGAAUGUGCUAAUGAAGACCUUGAACACCUUACAGUUACAUGAAACAUAUGAAUGCUAUAACAGGAUUUGUAUCAAUGCCACUGUAUCAAGAGUGCAACAUCACUAUUGUAUUCGGUAAUGGUGCUGGUAGUAGUGAACCAUUUGUACUA